AUGGCGACCACGGCGGCCUCGUCGUUGCUCUCCCCGGCGGCAAAGUUCGCGCUCCUGAGCCGGUACCCAAGCGCCAAAACUGCACCACGUAGCGUCCGGUUCCCCCCGGUGCGAGCCCAGCAGGAGGUGAAAGAGGAGGAGCCCGCGGCGACCGUGCCGCCGCUGCAGGAGGAGCAGGCGACGGCGGCGGCGGCGGCGAAGGGCCCCGCGCAGUCGCUGCCGCGGCAGCCGCUGGCGGAGAGCAAGAACAUGGGGCGGGAGUACGGCAGCCAGUGGCUGAGCUGCACGACGCGGCACGUGCGCAUCUACGCCGCGUACAUCGACCCGGAGACCAACGCCUUCGACCAGACGCAGACGGACAAGCUCACGCUCAUGCUCGACCCCACCGAGGAGUUCGUCUGGACCGACGAGACAUGCCAGAUGGUCUACAACGAGUUCCAGAACCUCGUCGACCACUACGAGGGAGCUCCACUGUCAGAGUACACGCUUCGUCUCAUCGGCUCUGAUCUUGAGCACUACAUCCGCAAGCUGCUCUAUGACGGGGAGAUCAAGUACAACAUGAGGUCCAGAGUGCUCAACUUUAGCAUGGGCAAACCCCGCGUCAAAUUCAACAGCAGCCAGAUCCCAGAUGUAAAAUAG
rnacentral:rRNA from 1 species